AUUGAACGCUGGCGGCAUGCUUUACACAUGCGAGUCGAACGGUAACAGGCCGCAAGGUGCUGACGAGUGGCGAACGGGGGAGUAAUGCAUCGGAACGUGCCCAGUCGUGGGGGAUAACGCAGCGAAAGCUGCGCUAAUACCGCAUACGAUCUAUGGAUGAAAGCGGGGGACCGUAAGGCCUCGCGCGAUUGGAGCGGCCGAUGUCAGAUUAGGUAGUUGGUGGGGUAAAGGCUCACCAAGCCAACGAUCUGUAGCUGGUCUGAGAGGACGAGCAGCCACACUGGGACUGAGACACGGCCCAGACUCCUACGGGAGGCAGCAGUGGGGAAUUUUGGACAAUGGGCGCAAGCCUGAUCCAGCAACGCCGCGUGCAGGAAGAAGGCCUUCGGGUUGUAAACUGCUUUUGUACGGAACGAAACGGUCCUGGUUAAUACCUGGGGCUAAUGACGGUACCGUAAGAAUAAGCACCGGCUAACUACGUGCCAGCCGCCGCGGUAAUAC
rnacentral:rRNA from 1 species